UACGUAGGGUGCGAGCGUUUGUCCGGAAUUAUUGGGCGUAAAGAGCUCGUAGGCGGCUUGUCGCGUCGGAUGUGAAAAGCCCCGGGGCUUAACUCCGGGUCUGCAUUCGAUACGGGCAGGCUAGAGUUCGGUAGGGGAGAUCGGAAUUCCUGGUGUAGCGGUGAAAUGCGCAGAUAUCAGGAGGAACACCGGUGGCGAAGGCGGAUCUCUGGGCCGAUACUGACGCUGAGGAGCGAAAGCGUGGGGAGCGAACAGG
rnacentral:rRNA from 1 species